GAUAGUCAGCUUAACUUUCCCAUCAUAGUUCAAUUUUAAGGCCCUAGAUUUAGACCUCCACACAUAUGCAGCUAGUGAUUCAAAAGUAGUGAAGUUUUCGUUUUCACCUGAUUCCUUCAUCAAACUCAUCUUCAGUCUACUGAUGUUGUCACUGUUAACCUUAAUGCAUUCCUGCACGAGAAUUUCAGUUGGAAGAAAGGGUGAAACAGCAGCUGAGGCCUCAUCCACUGAAUCAAAUAACAAUGGCUGUUUAGUGAUUGAUCCCUUCAGCCUCUCUCUCUCCCACACAGGCUUCACAGAGGGCUCACUUUCCCCCCUUGCAAGCUCAAUGAUGGCUUUCAAGAUUUGAGAUGCUCCAAAGCCAUCACCAACCGUAUGUAACAGCCCCAUUCCAAUGGUGAAGCCCCCACAAGUAAAGGUUGUCACCUUGAACACCAAGGGAUAUUGGUAGCCACUUUCACUUUGGGAAGGAAGGUCAAACACUAAGUGUUUAGAAUUUUCCAUGUCAGUGCCAUCCAAGCAAUGGAGAGAAGAAAGAUUGCAACUAGCACUGGCCUCCAAGAAUGGAACACCUUCUGCACUGCAGUUGAUCAUGAAGUUUCCAUCAGUGUCCUUCACUAGCCUACCUGCUAGAGGAUAAUAAUAGAAUAAAGCUUUUGAAAUUGCUGCUUUAAUCAUAUCAGCAGGAUCUAGCAGUUGGUGAUUAGGGCAACCAGGUUCAUCAAGAUCAUGAGUUUUUGAUUGAAAUACAUGAAGGGUGUGACAUGGGCUAUAAAGGACAGGUAUGUUGUCUAGUGUAGAUAAAGGAAGAAUAGAGGAAGGUGUUGGUUUUGACGGUUUGAUAAGAACAACUUCUUUCAUGAUAAGUUCGAAGGGUGUGUUUUGAGUAGCCAUGAAAAUGAAGGGAAGUUAAACAAAAAUCUGAGUGAG
rnacentral:sRNA from 1 species